rnacentral:misc_RNA from 1 species
GUUGGAGAGAAAAUAAAUAUAGGAGAUGGAAUCUUUUAGAGAAGACUGUAAAGGACGAAUAUAGAGGAUGUAUAUAGAGAACGUUGCUGGAGAUAGUCUGAAGACAGAACCGAGCUGGGACUUCCACGGAACGGCACGUGGGUGGAUUCCAUGGCCAGAGCGAGCACUGCUGAAGGGGACCGAGCUCGACAAAGGCGCGAGCGAGCAGAGGGCAAAACGCAGGGGAAAACUGGAGGGGAGCUUGGCGGCCAUGGCUGGAGCACCGCAGCGCGCGACGCUGGGAGAUCGGCAUGGCGCAGGCGCGCAGGGAACUUCACGGCUGGAAGGAGACCAGAGAGAGAGACGCGGUGCAGGGAGCUUCAGGGAAGAACGGCGCCAUGGGAGCUUCGACGGCGGCUAUGGAUAGCGAAAGCUGUGCGCGGCCAGCCAAGGAGCAAGGACGACUGCGGUCUGGCGAGCUGGAGGCCAAGGUAUAACCAGAGGAGCUUGGCGAGGGCAGAGCUUCAUGGCUGCAUGAUGCUGAAACGACCAGGCGAGGUCGACCACUGCAGGGGCGGCAGCCAAGCACGACGAGCAGGGAAGUACGCCCAAGAAAAGCUGAGCACGGAGGGAGAAGAACUGGAGCGUGCUGAGGAGGAACUGUUGCGCGCCUGCCGUUCGGCAUGGUG